CACGUAGGGCGCAAGCGUUGUCCGGAAUUAUUGGGCGUAAAGAGCUCGUAGGCGGUCUGUUGCGUCCGCUGUGAAAACUCGGGGCUUAACCCUGAGCUUGCAGUGGGUACGGGCAGACUAGAGUGCGGUAGGGGAGACUGGAAUUCCUGGUGUAGCGGUGAAAUGCGCAGAUAUCAGGAAGAACACCUAUGGCGAAGGCAGCACUCUGGGACGGUACUGACGCUGAGACGCGAAAGCGUGGGGGAGCGAACAGG
rnacentral:rRNA from 1 species